rnacentral:lncRNA from 1 species
AACUCCCAAUAUCUAUACUAGUUUGACAAGUCUCUAAGAAAAUCAAUAAAAUCAGCGAGCCAUUGAGACAUGCCCCAACUGACUCAUACUCAGUUAUCAAAUGUAAACAAUUUCGUGAAACCAACACCAGACAUCACGUCCUCGGAACAUGAGGACUCACCACAACAAAGGAUGUAGAACAGCGUGCCCGAAGAAUCACUGUCGAACCUGGAACUGAGCACCUGAACCUACAUUCCGAGAAAAUGCAGCCCACAUCCGAAGAUGUGGGUCAGUACCAUGGAAAGGAACCGAGUAUAUGGGGGUGUAUGCAGUUGCAUAAAC